UCUACGGGAGGCAGCAGUGGGGAAUAUUGGGCAAUGGGGGGAAGCCUGACCCAGCGACGCCGCGCGAGUGAAGAAGGCUUUCGGGUUGUAAAGUUCUAUUCGCAGGGACGAAAGAAGUGACGGUACCUGACUAAUAAGCCCCGGCUAACUACGUGCCAGCAGCCGCGGUAAUACGUAGGUGGCAAGCGUUAUCCGGAUUUACUGGGUGUAAAGGGAGGGUAGGCGGGAAAGCAAGUCUGAGGUGAAAACCGUGGGCGCAACCCGCGGCCUGCAUUUGAAACUGUUUGGCUUGAGUGCUGGAGAGGCAGAUGGAAUUCCUAGUGUAGCGGUGAAAUGCGUAGAUAUUAGGAGGAACACCAGUGGCGAAGGCGGUCUGCUGGACAGCAACUGACGCUGAGGCGCGAAAGCGCGGGGAGCAAACAGGAUUAGAUACCCUUGUAGUC
rnacentral:rRNA from 1 species